rnacentral:rRNA from 1 species
AGUGAACGCUGGCGGUAGGCCUAACACAUGCAAGUCGAACGGCAGCACAGUAAGAGCUUGCUCUUACGGGUGGCGGGUGGCGGACGGGUGAGGAAUACAUCGGAAUCUACUUUUUCGUGGGGGAUAACGUAGGGAAACUUACGCCAAUACCGCAUACGACGUACGGGUGAAAGCAGGGGAUCUUCGGACCUUGCGCGAUUGAAUGAGCGGAUGUCGGAUUAGCUAGUUGGCGGGGUAAAGGCCCACCAAGGCGACGAUCCGUAGCUGGUCUGAGAGGCUGAUCAGCCACACUGGAACUGAGACACGGUCCAGACUCCUACGGGAGGCAGCAGUGGGGAAUAUUGGACAAUGGGCGCAAGCCUGAUCCAGCCAUACCGCGUGGGUGAAGAAGGCCUUCGGGUUGUAAAGCCCUUUUGUUGGGAAAGAAAAGCAGCAGGUUAAUACCCCGCUGUUCUGACGGUACCCAAAGAAUAAGCACCGGCUAACUUCGUG